GCGAGGAAUAUUGCACAAUGGAGGCAACUCUGAUGCAGUAACGCCGCGUGGGGGAAGAAGACCUUCGGGUUGUAAACCUCUUUUUGUAGAGACGAGUGAGGACGGUAUCUAUAGAAUCAGUCUCGGCUAACUACGUGCCAGCAGCCGCGGUAAGACGUAGGAGGCGAGCGUUAUCCGGAUUCACUGGGCGUAAAGCGCAUGUAGGCGGUUGGGUAAGUCAUGUGUUAAAGCCCCUGGCUCAACUGGGGGAGGUCAUGUGAGACUACUUGACUUGAGGGCAACAGAGGCACGUGGAACUCCCGGUGUAGCGGUGGAAUGCGUAGAGAUCGGGAAGAACACCCGUGGCGAAGGCGACGUGCUGGGUUGCGACUGACGCUGAGAUGCGAAAGUGUGGGGAGCAAACGGGAUUAGAUACCCCAGUAGUCC
rnacentral:rRNA from 1 species